AGUGAACGCUGGCGGUAGGCCUAACACAUGCAAGUCGAACGGCAGCACAGUAAUAGCUUGCUCUUACGGGUGGCGAGUGGCGGACGGGUGCUGAAUACAUCGGAAUCUACUUUUUCUUGGGUGCUAACGUAGGGAAACUUACGCUAAUACCGCAUACGACCUACGGGUGAAAGCAGGGGAUCUUCGGACCUUGCGCGAUUGAAUGAGCCGAUGUCGGAUUAGCUAGUUGGCGGGGUAAAGGCCCACCAAGGCGACGAUCCGUAGCUGGUCUGAGAGGAUGAUCAGCCACACUGGAACUGAGACACGGUCCAGACUACUACGGGAGGCAGCAGUGGGGAAUAUUGGACAAUGGGCGCAAGCCUGAUCCAGCCAUACCGCGUGGGUGAAGAAGGCCUUCGGGUUGUAAAGCCCUUUUGUUGGGAAAGAAAAGCAGCAGGUUAAUACCCCGCUGUUCUGACGGUACCAAAAGAAUAAGCACCGGCUAACUUCGUG
rnacentral:rRNA from 1 species